ACGCUUCUUUGGAGGUGUAAUUGAUCCGUGCCAGCAGCUCUCAUCUCUCGCGAUGCUCUCAGCCCACGGCGUGCAGUCGCUAGUCUCUGACGUGAGAUCUCGUUACCGAUCAUCUCAUAUGCCAGUCUGACCGAAGAGCAACCAGUGCAGCAGUGCAGAUGAAUAUUCUGAAAAUCAACAAACAAUAAACGAGAGAAGGUUCUGGUCCUUGGCGUCCUGGAGGCUUGAAAACAUCAGAUUUCGACAGGGGAGAGCGGAGGUGGACUGACUAAGUUGUCCUUGAGAGACUCUGCCUGAAAAGCAUCAAUGCCUGCCGACUUAGGUAUUUCCACGAUGGUUAUAUUUGCACGCACAGACUGGUAAAGUCCGGGCAAAUUGGAGCUACACCAUAACUUAUUUAUUUUCUUCCCUGUUCAAUUACGAACACAUCUAAGAUGGAGACGUUAAUCUCUCAGCUUCUCCAGCUACAUGCCUCCUGCUUGUGGGGGAAAAGGAAAGAAUGAACGGGGAGAGAAGAAUACUCAGUAAUUACAAAUAUUAAGGGAAUCUACAUUUUCUUUUUUGGCAAAUGGUAAGACUUUAUUCCCAGCCAAGUCUGGUGACAAUGUGAUAUACCCCAUCAAUAUUUAGCUGUUAAAGUAGAGGGAAGAGAUUGGAGGAAUUUCAAAGAUACUUGAAGCCACAGCAGUGUUCCUGGAAUCUAACUCCUGGUGGCGAGCGCAUCACUGAAACACAUUGGCUGUCUGAGGUUUGGCAUCUGUGCUAACAUCUUUGUGAGACAUCACAGUCGCACCUCAUGUGUCACGUGCUAGAUGGCGUUUAUUGAUCAUCGGGCCUGCAGGAAUUCAACAGAGCUUGUUAUUAGGGACAUUUUUAGCCUAUCCAAUUCUUAAAAAGGAGUGUCACAGUUCUGGCACAGAAAUACUAACCUGGUUUAAGAAAAGAGAUUAUAUUUUUUUAAACUGACCAGCAUCUUACCCAAUAAAAUAGGUUAAAAUAAAAAAAAAUCAUGAAAGGAACAUUGUAAAAGAGAAAUCCAGAAAGAACGGUGAGGGACUUGGCUUGUUUAAGUGGAGAAGGAGAUUCGAGCCGACUCACUCCACAUAGUUAUCCUCCUGUGUGUGGUUGUCUACACUGGACUGUUCCUUAAAUACUUUGGUUGUCAUCUCCAGACACUGGACUUCUUUAGAGACUCAAGGGGCAAGAGGCAGCACACCCCCCCCCCACCAAUGAAUGAGAACCUAUAUAUCAAUAUCAUGUCCAGUAGUUUUGGCAACAAGUAACAGAAAAUUGAUUCAAGCUGGCUUACACAGGGGUCAGCAAACAGCGGCUUGUAGAUUGACCAGCUGUUUGCUGGAACACGUUGACAUGUUCCCUUCUGGCAAAAGAAGGCGUUCCAGUGGCUAUGGGAUAUAAAUUUUCAAUCAGAUGGUGCCAGUUUAGAACACUUGUCCACCACUGGAGCAGGAUGGUUGCCAUAGAAAUGCACAUUUCUGACUCGUGUGGAAGCCUCUGUGAUGACGGGUGGCCUGCAGCAGCAAUGAGACCUGCAGAUGGGGGGUUGGGGGUUUGGCUCAGUGGUAGAGCGCUUACCUAGGAAGCGCAAGGUCCUGGGUUGGGUCCCCAGCUCUGGAAAAAAAAGAACUUGAUGAAAAAGAACUUGAUGAGACCUGCAGAUGGUCAGUCAGUGGAUAACUGCUUCCCGAUGACCAGACCCCAGACCCCAGGAGCCUGCAGGACUCUUCCCCAUCUUUAAACAUUUAUUUCCCUCUGUAUCUCUGAUUCACUGGGUUUUCUCUCUACCUGGUUCCUUUCACCCUCCCCCCCACACAGUGGAAAGUACAAGCACGAGCUUUUCAGACAUCGUUAGUCUUCCUGAUUGAACUCAUGUCCCCAGUCUUAUUUCCAAAUUUUUAGAGAUCACUUCUGAUCAUCCCAGUCAAGUUAGGGUCAUCCCUCAAUCAGAAGCGGGGUCUUCGAGGUCUAGGGAAAUUCUCACUAUAACCACAGGAGCAGAUUUAGUCUGCAAGAGAGAGAGAGGCAGGCGAGCCCAUGGGUAUUGGCUAAACGAAUUUACUUCUCUAUGUCAGACACAGGCCAAAUUUUUCCAUUCUAAGUAAUUAGUUGCAUGGAAAUAAUUUUUCAUCCGGGGAAAUGCAGACACAAAAAGGGUUCAUUCAGACAAGAUAUCACGUCUUUCAUAGAAGGCUGCAAAGGUAGGAAUGUGGUCUGGCAUCGCUGUCCCCCAAAUACAGUAUUAUCCUUGUCUCCAUGCUCUGAGACGGCGGCAAGUUAAGUCCACAGUUUUAGGCAGCAGAAGGAAGGGACUAAGAAAAGGCAAGAGUUACACACUAACUGUCAUUUAAGGAAAAUUCCAGAAGUUGACAUAUCCGAAUAGUGCAAGCCUAAUCUCAAAUUCUGUUCCAAAUCUAGAAAUAAUUUAAACACUGAAAUGAAACCACAACUGGAAAAUCCCACAUCGCGAAACAUUAUUUUAUGCUCCGAGUUAUUACAGGGACUCUACAAGCCUGCCUUAGGCACGGUGUAUCUGGGGGAAAAAAGGAUGAAUUUCCUGUUUAGAUGCCUCGCUCACAAAUACAAAGCCCUGGGUUCAGUCCCUCGCACCUGUAAUCCAGGAAAUGGAGACAGAAGGGUCAGAAGUUCAAAGUCAUCCUCAGCUAUAUAGUGACGUCAAGAAAAGUGAAAAGAAAAGCAAAUAUUCAAAACUCUAAAGGAAAAGAACCUGAAACCCUCAACACUUUUGGUCCCAAGCACUUUGAACAAGGGAAACUCCACCUGUCAUUCUACCUCCUGUCUCUUCAAGAGGACGACCUCUUUCUCUUUCAUGGACUUCAGUUUGCCCGUCUUAAAGAAUGAAUCCUCGUUUUUAUUACUAUAGAGCAAGAAAACAUGUACUAAGGGAUUAGUGGUGACCCUGCUGUGGGAUCAGUAGUGACUGCGUACUGGGCUUUCAUUUUCAGACUCUGCAAGACAAAACGAGCUCUUUAAAAAUUUUACAAUGUGAGGUUUUUGUUGUCUUUUCCUUAACUUUUCAUGUACCGGUGUUUUGUUCUAUCUUACGUAUGUCUGCGUACCACUUGCAUGGCUGGUACCCUCAGAGGCCAGAAGAGUAGACUGGAUCUCCUGGAAUUACAGUUACUGAGGGUUGUGAGCCUCCGUGUAGGUGCUGGGAAUUGAACAUGGGUCCUCCGGAAGAGCAGCCAAUGCUCUUACGCUGAGCCAUCUCUCCAGCCACAAAGCACUUCAUUUUUACUUAGUUGAUUUGCUUUGGCAAGUAAUAGUUGUUUCGAUUUCUAAACUACAAUGACAUUCUGGUCUGGUUGUAUAUGGUAGAAAGAGCCCAUCAAGAUAACUGAUUUAUUGUUAUAGCUGGGCGUGGGAUGUCUCCCAGAGGCUCAUAGUCCCUAGUUCAAGGCUUAGUCUCCAGGGCAGCAACAUUUGGAUGCGGGGUCUUGAGGAAGUGAUUGCAUUCCGAGAGCUCUGACAUCAGUAGAUUAUCCCACUGAUAGAAAUUCAGCAGACAGAAUCUAGUUGGAGGUAGUGAGUCCUCAGGAGCUCGUCCUGUAUCUUAUCCCAGUGCUCUUUGACUGGCUGUCACUAAAUGGGCAGCCUUGCUCCACCACAUGCUCCCUGCCACAAAGUUCGGCCUUGCCACGGGAAGCAAAGCCAAGAGCUCACACAAGGAAAUCUCUGAGUAAAUCCAGAACAAGUCUUUCCGCUUUUUUUUUUUUUUUUUUGGUUCUUUUUUUUUUUUUUUUUUUUUUUUCCGGAGCUGGGGACCGAACCCAGGGCCUUGCGCUUCCUAGGCAAGCGCUCUACCACUGAGCUAAAUCCCCAACCCCGUCUUUCCGCUUUUCAUUUUCUUGAGUAUUUUUUCACGGAUAAAAAAGUGAAUAUUGUCAUCUUUCACCUCACCAACUCCUUCGAUGAGGAUCUUUAAAAAUCUAUUGACAAUUUCAAAAUAAGCAAUUCUAACUCAGAAAGAAAAGAGGCGUUUGUCAUUAAGAAAUGUAAGCGAAGAGGUUAGCAAAACAACUCGUUCUCGCUCCCAUGAGUACCAGUUGUUUUCUAUUGCUGUGAUAAAACACUAUGACCACGGCAACAAGGAAGAGAAAGAUUCUCGGCUUAUGAUUCCAGAAGGUUGAGAGUCCCCAUGGUACAGCAGAGGCAGGAAGGUGAGAGCUGACAUCUUGAACCACAAGUAGAGAGAGCGAGAGAGAGAGAGAGAGAGAGAGAGAGAGAGAGAGAGAGAGAGAGAGAGAGAACAGCAAAUAGCGUGGGGGCUUAGGUUCUCAAAGCCCACUCCUCAGUGCCCUGCUUCCCCUAGCAAGGCCACACCUCCUAAACCUCCCCAAACAUUGCUACCAACUGAGAACAAAGUGAUCAAUCAAACUACUGCACCCUGGAACUGAAAUGGAAACACACAGUUACUGUUUUAUUUAUGCCGUGUGAGAUAUUCAUUAUAAAAGCAACGUUGUUUUCCUAGUGAGGAAUGCGCCUCCAAUGACAAGUUCAUGUGAUGUGGUUUUAGGAAAAAUUCUGUGUAAUUCUAUAGGUGUCACACUAUAAAAGGAGACAGAUUAACAUUUCUUAAGUUCUGACUCUCUGACUCUGACUAAGGCACAUCAAAAGCUGGGAAUCUAUCGUUUGAGCCCGGAAAACACUUUCUGCUGCUCAGCUAUCACAAUGGUCCAGGGCUAUUGGUUAGUGAAAUCACAUCCUGAAACUGUAGCUACAAUGAGAGCUUGUGACGACUCUAUCCAAUGCCUUUCAGCUGAUUGCUGAUUGUAGGUUUCUUGUGGACAGAUGAUUGAUCCAACCUCUUGCGAUGGAGGAAUGUCUCUAGUGGUGAUUUAGCUCAUUUAGAUGGAGAAAACAAAAUGUGGAUCAGGGCUCAUGCCUGCAAAGAAAUGGUGUAGGGAAGUUGGGCUUUUUGGUUUUUUUUUUUUUUUUUAAGUGACUGAAAAGUUCCAGUGAAAUUAAGUUGCACCGCUGAGCUGUGCCAGCCUUGUGAGCCAACACCCUUCCUGCAGUCAGGGAGCAUAAGAGCAGUUACGUCAAAUAUUAUCUGGCAACAAGAAUAGAACAUUAUUCUGAGCAAUAAAGUGUUAUUCAAAUUGGACAGAAGUGUACAGAUGCAGUAACGUGGUAAUUAUUCUAAGAACGAGUGUCUAAUUUAGAAAUUACCUAACCUUUUGGUUUCUAUUUCAGAUGACAUUUGUAAUCUAAAUGAGCAACCAACCUGCUUUUACAUCAAACUCAAAACAUGAUUUGCAAUUUUAUUUCAAGCUCAGCCUCCCCUUUAUUAGCGUUCAGUCAAUAUCUCAAAGACUGAGAUAUUUUAGGCGCAGGUGCUUUGCAGACAAAGAAUAGAGAAGUGAAGAAAUUAGUUUCAUUGUUUCUCAUGGUGAAGCAGCAGCCUGUCACAAUUCCCCGUUCCCUCUCAAGCUGUCCCCUGAGGUCUGGGCAUGGGAGGAAGGGCACGGGAGGAAGUCACAGAAUGACUGAUGUUUGCUCUGUGUUGGGACUGUCGCCUCUCCCCAUGAACUAACAAAACAACCCACCAUUGCUUAUACACUGUCAGCUUUCAAUCCUCUGAAAUCCACUCAUCAUUUCAUUAUUUCGGAAAUAAGUUUUCAGGUUCUUGUUUGUACUGAGCUCUGUGCUUAACUAGGACCAGAAAGGGCUCCCGUUCUCAGACACUUUACCAUUCAGUGAUACUGGUUUCCCUUUGGCUACAGGACAAUCUGCAAGUAUACAAGAGAUGACUGAAGGAAAUAUGUAUACAUGACCAGAAAACUAUUGGGUGGAAUUAUGGGUAACUCUUUUAAGUAUUUAAAUGUCCUAUGAUGCCAUUCUAUUCCUACAGCAAUGCUUUUAAUUAAAAAAAAAUAUGGCGAUUGUUUAAAAUACUAGUCUUAUAUUUUAAGUGACAGUUAUUUAUUCAACUAGAAUCACUUUAAGGGGGAACAACUUUAUUAUAAAUUAUAAGUGAUGGAGUGAGGUAGCUCAUGCCUGUAUCUAGCACCUAGGACGUAGAGGCAGAAGGAUCCUGAUUUUAAGGUCAGCCUGGGCUACGCAGAAGUCUGGUAUAGACCAGUCUACUUUGAAAGAUCCUGUCUCAAAGGGAAAAAAAGUGUUUCCUAAGAAAUUCAUAUCAAUUAUUUUAAUCAUAUUAAAAGACAUUAUAUUCCUACUUGUAUAACCGAGUUGUCACAGUAAAAUCACAGAAGACCUCCCGGGAGGCCUGUGUGAGAAUGCUGGGCAUUGGGCUGGAGAGAUAGCUCAGCCGUUAAAGGCUAGGCUCACAGCCAAAAAUAUAAGGGAAUGCUGGGCAUUGGCCUCCACAGGAUGGAGAACCUCGAGGAGAAUGACCCUUCAAUGUCUGUGCCAACCCUGUAGUCAUUUUUACACACCC